rnacentral:rRNA from 1 species
GUGGGGAAUAUUGGGCAAUGGGCGAAAGCCUGACCCAGCAACGCCGCGUGAAGGAAGAAGGUUUUCGGAUCGUAAACUUCUAUCCUUGGUGAAGAUAAUGACGGUAGCCAAGAAGGAAGCCCCGGCUAACUACGUGCCAGCAGCCGCGGUAAUACGUAGGGGGCAAGCGUUGUCCGGAAUGAUUGGGCGUAAAGGGCGCGUAGGCGGCCCGGUAAGUCUGAAGUGAAAGUCCUGCUUUUAAGGUGGGAAUUGCUUUGGAUACUGUCGGGCUUGAGUGCAGGAGAGGUAAGCGGAAGUCCCGGUGUAGCGGUGAAAUGCGUAGAGAUCGGGAGGAACACCAGUGGCGAAGGCGACUUACUGGACUGUAACUGACGCUGAGGCGCGAAAGUGUGGGGAGCAAACAGGAUUAGAAACCCCUGUAGUCC